CGGACAGAAGCCCACUGGUUAGGGUAUUUAGCUGUUAAUUAAAAUUUUACGGGAUCGAGGCCCGUCUGUCUAG
rnacentral:tRNA from 1 species